rnacentral:lncRNA from 1 species
ACACUUUGAGACAUUUUCUUCUUCUUGCAUCAUAAUUACUAUGAAAUGUAGCAUUACAUUGAGAAAUUAACAUAUCACAAGUAUAAUUACUAAUCAUCAAUAAAUGUUUCUCUUAUUCUCCUUUAAUUCAUUCCAUCAUAGCUCACUGUCCAUUCCUCUCUUGAAUUGGCAUUUCAUCUUGAAGAUAAAAUACCUAAGUCUGGAUUCCUUUCACCACAUACUAUUAAAACACAUCCGUGUGCUGUGUCGGUCGUGAGGAAAUUCCACAGAGCAGCCCCAAACCUAUGAACAGUGCAGAGAAUGUUGUCUCUUGGGUUGUUAAUGUUGAGGAUCUGUCAUUCAACAUCCUCGUCUCGUUCUUGGCUCUUCCUAGACUCAAACCCAAUUUCCAACAAAAUUUUAAGUUUGCAUGUUGUAUGUAUAAUCUUCAUUUACAUGUUUUUUUUUGGAAAAAAAUUUCCUUUUUUUGUGUGAAUAGUAUUCAAUAUAUGUAUUACUAAAAAAUGCAAUCUUUUGUCAACAAAAUGUUUUUUAAGUUGAAUAACUAAGAGAAAACACAACAUUGAGAAAAGUUUUGAAUCUAACUAAUCAAAUGCUUCUAUAUAAAUUACCUUUUGGUAUACUUCCUUGAUUUGAUUUUGAGAUAAAUCUCAUCAUUCUUUGAAAAAAUUUAUCUGCGUCUUUGUCGUCUUCAUCUUUGUCCAUGUUGUUGGGUAUUUCUCUAAACUCUAAAAAUUCAAAGAUAGGUAUAAAUAUUAUUUUUGUCACUGGUUAAAAU